rnacentral:lncRNA from 10 species
GUUUGCUCCUUUCAGUAAAUGAGGAAACUGGCACUGAAAAAGGCUCACUUGCUCCCAAUCCCUGUAGCUGAAAGGGCUACAUUUUGAUGCACCUGUGGCCUGUUUUGCUCCAUUUCCUCCCCCCGUUUUCCCCUUCAUAGACAGUCUUAUUUACCUGGAUUCAGGCUGCUAGAGACCAUGGACAUCAGCAACAGGAGGAGGGAAGAUAUUAGAAUUUUUAUUGUGACUGUCGGUGGAGCUGUACGUUGCUUGAAGAGUGUAUGAAAGGUUCCCGGUUGGAAGCUCCUGACCUCUGGGGAUGGCUCAGCCUGGUGGUCUGCAGUAUAGUCCCAGGGCAGUGUUCCUACUUGAGGGCAAGAACAGACCAGAAUCUCCGCUUCUGAGCUGUGGAUGCCCAAGACAAAAGAACGCAAGCCCAUGACUGGUCUCAGAUGCAGAUGCCUAACAACAAACAGCCCCACCCACCCCCAGUUGAGGAGAGGAGGGGGCUGUGGCUACAGACAGACCUCAUGUGACUUCAAUCUGACACCUAUGGCCUGUGUGACCCUUGUUAGUGACUGUCUCCCUGUGCCUCAAUUUCCUUUCAAUAAGUAGGAUAAGUGCUAUUUGGCUGUGAGGUUGUUUGUGAAUUAACCUCAAAAUAUUUACAAUUACUUGAUCUCAGCUCUGCACAGAGGAGCUGCUCAAAUGAACAUCAUUUAUGUUUAUUUGCCUCCAAGAGAGAAGGCCCUGGGCCUGA